rnacentral:rRNA from 1 species
UGGGGAAUAUUGCACAAUGGGGGAAACCCUGAUGCAGCAACGCCGCGUGGAGGAUGACACAUUUCGGUGCGUAAACUCCUUUUAUAUGGGAAGAUAAUGACGGUACCAUAUGAAUAAGCACCGGCUAACUCCGUGCCAGCAGCCGCGGUAAUACGGAGGGUGCAAGCGUUACUCGGAAUCACUGGGCGUAAAGCGCAUGCAGGCGGCCUGACAAGUUGGAAGUGAAAUCCUAUGGCUUAACCAUAGAACUGCUUCCAAAACUGUCAGGCUAGAGUCUGGGAGGGGAAGAUGGAAUUAGUAGUGUAGGGGUAAAAUCCGUAGAGAUUACUAGGAAUACCAAAAGCGAAGGCGAUCUUCUGGAACAGUACUGACGCUGAGAUGCGAAAGCGUGGGGAGCAAACA